UCGUCCUACGGGACGCAGCAGUGGGGAAUAUUGGGCAAUGGGCGCAAGCCUGACCCAGCAACGCCGCGUGAAGGAAGAAGGCUUUCGGGUUGUAAACUUCUUUUAUGAGGGACGAAAGAAAUGACGGUACCUCAUGAAUAAGCCACGGCUAACUACGUGCCAGCAGCCGCGGUAAUACGUAGGUGGCAAGCGUUAUCCGGAUUUACUGGGUGUAAAGGGCGUGUAGGCGGGAAGCCAAGUCAGCUGUGAAAACUACGGGCUUAACUUGUAGGCUGCAGUUGAAACUGGUUUUCUUGAGUGAGGGA
rnacentral:rRNA from 1 species